rnacentral:tRNA from 1 species
GGUCCCUUAGCUCAGUUGGUUAGAGCGUGGUGCUAAUAUUGGGUGAUUUACUGGACCUCUAGUGAGGAACAUAUCGAUAUAUAGUAACGCCAAGGUCGCAGGUUCGACCCCUGCAGGGACCA